AUCCAGCUGAUGAGUCCUAAACAGAACAAAACGCACAUCCUAGAU
rnacentral:hammerhead_ribozyme from 1 species